UACAGAGGUCUCAAGCGUUGUUCGGAUUCAUUGGGCGUAAAGGGUGUGUAGGUGGCGCCGUAAGUCGGGUGUGAAAUUUCGGAGCUUAACUCCGAAACUGCAUUCGAUACUGCGGUGCUUGAGGACUGGAGAGGAGACUGGAAUUCAUGGUGUAGCAGUGAAAUGCGUAGAGAUCAUGAGGAAGACCAGUGGCGAAGGCGACCCACUGGGUCUCUUCUGACGCUGAGGUACGAAAGCUAGGGUAGCGAACGGG
rnacentral:rRNA from 1 species